rnacentral:rRNA from 1 species
AUUGAACGCUGGCGGCAUGCCUUACACAUGCAAGUCGAACGGUAACAGGUCUUCGGAUGCUGACGAGUGGCGAACGGGUGAGUAAUACAUCGGAACGUGCCCGAUCGUGGGGGAUAACGAAGCGAAAGCUUUGCUAAUACCGCAUAAGAUCUACGGAUGAAAGCAGGGGACCGCAAGGCCUUGCGCGAACGGAGCGGCCGAUGGCAGAUUAGGUAGUUGGUGGGAUAAAAGCUUACCAAGCCGACGAUCUGUAGCUGGUCUGAGAGGACGACCAGCCACACUGGGACUGAGACACGGCCCAGACUCCUACGGGAGGCAGCAGUGGGGAAUUUUGGACAAUGGGCGAAAGCCUGAUCCAGCCAUGCCGCGUGCAGGAUGAAGGCCUUCGGGUUGUAAACUGCUUUUGUACGGAACGAAAAGACUCUUUCUAAUAAAGAGGGUCCAUGACGGUACCGUAAGAAUAAGCACCGGCUAACUACGUGCCAGCCGCCGCAGUAACAC